GGCAGCGCGGGGCAACCUGGCGGCGAGUGGCGAACGGGUGAGUAAUAUAUCGGAACGUGCCCUGGAGUGGGGGAUAACGCAGCGAAAGUUGCGCUAAUACCGCAUACGAUCUAAGGAUGAAAGCGGGGGAUUCGCAAGAACCUCGUGCUCCUGGAGCGGCCGAUAUCUGAUUAGCUAGUUGGUGGGGUAAAGGCCUACCAAGGCAUCGAUCAGUAGCUGGUCUGAGAGGACGACCAGCCACACUGGAACUGAGACACGGUCCAGACUCCUACGGGAGGCAGCAGUGGGGAAUUUUGGACAAUGGGCGAAAGCCUGAUCCAGCAAUGCCGCGUGAGUGAAGAAGGCCUUCGGGUUGUAAAGCUCUUUUGUCAGGGAAGAAACGGUGAAGGCUAAUAUCCUUUGCUAAUGACGGUACCUGAAGAAUAAGCACCGGCUAACUACGUGCCAGCAGCCGCGGUAAUACGUAGGGUGCAAGCGUUAAUCGGAAUUACUGGGCGUAAAGCGUGCGCAGGCGGUUUUGUAAGUCUGUCGUGAAAUCCCCGGGCUCAACCUGGGAAUUGCGAUGGAGACUGCAAGGCUAGAAUCUGGCAGAGGGGGGUAGAAUUCCACGUGUAGCAGUGAAAUGCGUAGAGAUGUGGAGGAACACCGAUGGCGAAGGCAGCCCCCUGGGUCAAGAUUGACGCUCAUGCACGAAAGCGUGGGGAGCAAACAGGAUUAGAUACCCUGGUAGUCCACGCCCUAAACGAUGUCUACUAGUUGUCGGGUUUUAAUUAACUUGGUAACGCAGCUAACGCGUGAAGUAGACCGCCUGGGGAGUACGGUCGCAAGAUUAAAACUCAAAGGAAUUGACGGGGACCCGCACAAGCGGUGGNUGAUGUGGAUUAAUUCGAUGCAACGCGAAAAACCUUACCUACCCUUGACAUGUACGGAAGCCACGAGANAUCGAGGNGUGCUCGAAAGANAGCCGUA
rnacentral:rRNA from 1 species